rnacentral:rRNA from 1 species
GGCUCAGGAUGAACGCUGGCGGCGUGCCUAACACAUGCAAGUCGAACGAUCCGCAAGGAUAGUGGCGCACGGGUGAGUAACACGUAGCUCAUCUGCCCUCGGGAGUGGGAUAACGUUCCGAAAGGAAUGCUAAUACCGCAUAAGCUCACGCGAAGUAGAAGCGAGUGAGAAAAGUCGUAAGACGCUUGAGGAGGAGGCUGCGGCCCAUCAGGUAGUUGGUAGGGUAAAAGCCUACCAAGCCGACGACGGGUAGGGGGUCUGAGAGGAUGAUCCCCCACACUGGGACUGAGACACGGCCCAGACUCCUACGGGAGGCAGCAGUGAGGGAUAUUGGUCAAUGGGCGAAAGCCUGAACCAGCGACGCCGCGUGGGUGAUGAAGGCCUUCGGGUCGUAAAGCCCUUUUGGGGGUGACGAGAACAAGGACGGUAGCCCCAGAAUAAGUCUCGGCUAACUACGUGCCAGCAGCCGCGGUAAAACGUAGGAGGCAAGCGUUAUCCGGAGUUACUGGGCGUAAAGCGCGUGCAGGCGGCUCGGUAAGUGGGUCGUGAAAGCGCCCGGCUAAACUGGGCGAGGACGAUCGAGACUGCCGGUGCUCGAGAGUGGUAGAGGGACAGGGAAUUCCGGGUGUAGCGGUGAAAUGUGUAGAGAUCCGGAGGAACACCAGUGGCGAAGGCGCUGUCCUGGGCCACCUCUGACGCUGAGGCGCGAAGGCGUGGGGAGCGAACGGGAUUAGAGACCCCGGUAGUCCACGCGGUAAACGAUGCAGACUGGGUGUUCACUACCCUAACGGGUAGGGAGUGCCGAAGCUAACGCGGUAAGUCUGCCGCCUGGGGAGUACGGUCGCAAGGCUAAAACUCAAAG